rnacentral:rRNA from 1 species
GAGGAGAGAUCUUGGUCUAAGCUUUGCUUUGUACUGGGAUAUUCGAAUCUUAUUUUCUAGGGAACUAGAGUGUCCUUAAUUGGAUGCUCUAAGGAACUAGGACGAUUACCUUGAGAAAAAUAGAGUGUUCAAAGCAGGCGAUUUGCUUGAAUACGUUAGCAUGGAAUAAUAAAAUAGGGCUUUGGUUCUAUUUUGUUGGUUUUAAGAACCGAUGUC